rnacentral:rRNA from 1 species
AGGACGAACGCUGGCGGCGUGCUUAACACAUGCAAGUCGAGCGGAAAGGCCCUUCGGGGUACUCGAGCGGCGAACGGGUGAGUAACACGUGAGUAAUCUGCCCCUAGCUCUGGGAUAGCUCCGGGAAACCGGGAUUAAUACCAGAUACAACCACUUUAGACAUCUCUUGUGGUGGAAAGAAUUUCGGCUAGGGAUGAACUCGCGGCCUAUCAGCUUGUUGGGGAGGUAACGGCUCACCAAGGCGACGACGGGUA